ensembl:lncRNA
GUUUUCUAAUGAUCAAUUAGCCUUUUAAAAUUAUAAUUGGAACACAGGAGUGAUGGUUGCUAAUAAUGGGCCUCUGUACACCUAUGUAGGUAUUCCAUAAAAAACAGCUGUUUCCAGCUACAAAGGUCAUUUACAACAUUAGCAAUGCCUACAUUGUAUUUCUGAUCAAUUUUAUGUUAUUUUAAUGGACAAAAAUAUGCUUUUCUUUCAAAAAUGAGAACAUUUAAGUGACCCCAAACCUUUGACCGGUAGGGUAUAUUUUAUAGGAAAUAUGUUUCUGAUGCACCAUGCUGCUGCCUUGACAACAUGCCUAAAACGGUGCAGAUUACUGUUUGAGUUGAGAACGGCGCUCCUCCCUCACCUCUUUUGCCGUUCACGUCACGGGCCAUAGACCGGUGCACCGUGGUUCAGCUUAAUCAAACUCCCUGACUGCCCACUUGUUUACAUCUCUUCACUAGAUAUCCUAGAUGGCCUUUUUGCUGUAUAGGAUGCCAGUGUUUCUUUGGCCUGGUUUAAUAUUCUCUCCUGUGUUGGAGGAACUUAACUGGACACAUGGCUUUUGCUGGCAUGAGCAGUGCAGCAUGCCUGUUAGCUGUGGGCUAGGCUUCAAUUGACCAAAGCUGAAAUGGUACGCAUUGGGAAGGUGGCAUUGCUUUUCAAAGCCAGAAGGAAGUUCAGAAGAGAGCUGGCUGACCCAUUUUCUUGCACAAUGCUUAGGCUGCUGGGACAGUGUUUUUUUGUUUUGAAGAGCGGUUUGAUUACAUGGACCAUUAUGUGACAUUGGAUGUUCUAAUUACCUGAGACAUUUUAGACAAUGGCUAGAUAAUACCUGUCAUCUUCAAUGGCUGUUGUGUUCUCAAAGUACACUGUGAAAUGGAGAGGAUCCAGUAUCAGAUCACUGAGGAGAUUGUCACUGAACAUAUUCAUAGUGUCUCAGAGUAGGAGUGCUAAUCUAGGUUCUGUUUAGCCAGUUUAAAUAUGCUGGGUCCAUUGCAUAUCUACUAACAGGAGAUCACUUGCACCUGUGUGUUAAAACAAACUUUCAACCAAAAACACAGAAGAAUAAACCAGCCGAUCUCAUAUUGUUACCGUGUCAAGAGUCUGAUACCACUACUUCUGCCCCAAUGAUCUAAAAUAUUCAUUGUAACAAUAUAUGAUUAUAUUUCCUACAGAACAUUUCAUCUUUAAUGUUAGAAUAUUAUUUAAAGUUACUUGAAACUACAAUUUUAAAUGAACUGAUUCUAAACUCCAUCAUGAUUGGGUUGAUUUAGGUACAUUUUAAUGUGAACAGUUCUGGAAGUUUUCUCUCCAAGUAUUUACUAUACUGUAUUAAGACAAGUUGUUACUUUUUCCAUUUCAUGUGAUCUUUAAGAACAAACAUUGUCCAGUGAAAAUGUGUAGGGUUAACUGCCACGGGUUAACUGCCACGGGUUAACUGCCACGGGUUAACUGCCACGGGUUAACUGCCACGGAUUUGCAGUGGUAAACUAGGAAAGACAUUGAUUCAGUUGUACAGAAUGAUGGUCAAAUAGGCCUGUUAAAUCGGCUUACUGCACCCAUUCCGGAAAAGCGGG